AUUGAACGCUGGCGGCAGGCCUAACACAUGCAAGUCGAACGCGUGGCGGACGGGUGAGUAAUGUCUGGGUAUCUGCCUUAUGGAGGGGGAUAACUUCUGGAAACUGUAGCUAAUCCCGUAUACUCGCCGAUACGCCCAGAUGGGAUUCGCUAGUUGGUGGGGUAACGGCUCACCAAGGCGACGAUCCCUAGCUGGUCUGAGAGGAUGAACAGCCACACUGGUACUGAGACACGGUCCAGACUCCUACGGGAGGCAGCAGUGGGGAAUAUUGCACAAUGGGCGCAAGCCUGAUGCAGCCAUGCCGCGUGUAUGAAGAAGGCCUUAGGGUUGUAAAGUACUUUCAGCGGGGAGGCGUUACCCGCAGAAGAAGCACCGGCUAACUCCGUGCCAGCAGCCGCGGUAAUAC
rnacentral:rRNA from 1 species